rnacentral:rRNA from 1 species
GUAAUUGACGCUGAGGCACGAAAGCGUGGGGAUCAAACAGGAUUAGAUACCCUGGUAGUCCACGCAGUAAACGAUGAUAACUAACCGCUGGGAUUUCGGUUUCAGUGGCCAAGCGAAAGCGAUAAGUUAUCCACCUGGGGAGUACGACCGCAAGGUUGAAACUCAAAGGAAUUGACGGGGGCCCGCACAAGCGGAGGAACAUGUGGUUUAAUUCGAUGAUACGCGAGGAACCUUACCCGGGCUCGAACGGCUGGUGAAGCGAUCCAGAGAUGGUGACGUCCUUCGGGACACCAGUCGAGGUGCUGCAUGGUUGUCGUCAGCUCGUGCCGUGAGGUGUCGGCUCAAGUGCCAUAACGAGCGCAACCCUUGUCGUCAGUUACCAGCAUGCAAUGAUGGGGACUCUGGCGAGACUGCCACCGCAAGGUGAGAGGAAGGGGGGGAUGACGUCAAAUCAGCACGGCCCUUACGUCCGGGGCGACACACGUGUUACAAUGGCGGCCACAGAGGGGCACUACCUGGUGACAGGAUGGGAAUCUCGAAAAGCCGUCUCAGUCCGGAUCGGAGUCUGCAACCCGACUCCGUGAAGCUGGAUUCGCUAGUA